AAGAUACAUAGUUGUUAAGACAAAGAAAAGAAAAGAAAAGAGUGUUCAUUGGGUAAGAGAUGAAAAUGGGUGUAUAUUUGGGAUUUGAGAUGAAGAAAAGAAAGGGUAGAACUUAAAAAUUGUCUAGGAAAAGGGUACAAUGAUGAGAACCGAUUUAUGUAUGCAUUAAUUGCUCCUUUUCUUAGAUAAAUUUUGCAUAAUGAUCAAGCUCCUAUUCUUGAGUGUAAGUCACCAUAGCAAAAUGUAUUUGGACCCUUCUCAUUCUUCACAUUAAGCCAUUUUUUCUCACCAAACCAAAUGAUUUGGACCAAUUGGCAAUUUGCGAGAAUUCACUUAUGAUAUUUCUUAUUGAAUGUGAGAGUUGGUUGAUUUGAGGAUUCAUGAUAAUGAGUUAAAAGAUCAAAGGAAUUGAUAGGCCUAGAGAAGUUAGAGCUAAUAAAAACAUUUUGCUCUUGCUAUUUGGUAUGAUUUUGUAAGGAUAUCACAACGAUGGCAUUGAAGAGUUUCUUAAGGUCAUGAAUUUCCAUUUGUGUAUUGAAACAUCACUUCCCAUGUUCUUGAAAGUUUACUUGAGGACAAGUAAAGGACUAGUGUGGGGGAGUUGAUGUGUUGUGAUUUUGCAUAGUUUUAGCUUUGUUAUUUCAUAUAUAUUCAUGCAUUAACCUUACAUUUAUUUGCAUUUAGAGUCUAUUGCAUGUACAUUUGCAUCUUGUAGGUGUUGGAUGAAUUGUUUGGAGUUUUGGAGGUGAUUAGAGCACAAAAGGAGCUUUCGAGGAGUCUUGAACCGAACGUGUGAAAGACAAGCAUGGAUGAAGGUCUUAAAGAUAUCUUUUGAAACUUGUCUUUUGGGAAGACAUGGUAAAUUGAGUUAGCUUUACAAUGGAGGUGGUUUCAAGUCGUUUGGAGCUGUAUUGAGGGAUUUAUGAUCAAAAUACUACACACAUAUCAGUGUGUGCAACAUGGAGAAAGUGGAGAAAACUUUAAUGAGUGAGUUUUAUCUCUUUAAAGCUUGCAACAUGGGGGAUGGGUUGUCUAUCAUGAGUUUGGUGGCUCUUUUGGCCUAACUUUCUCUACCUUUUCUGAAGAGGCAAGACUACUUUGGCCAUAUGAAGGGGCAAAAGGUGUUCUAUAAUGGAAGAAAGUGGAGAAUAACUUUUAUGAGUGUGUUUUAUGCUUUAUGCUUUCACAUGAUGGAUGUGUUGUCAUCCUCCUUUACUUAGGCUAUAAAAGAGACUGCAAGGGGAAGGAGGAAGACACAAUACACAGAGUACAAUACAACAAAGAGUAGAGAGUGAAAGUUUUAUAGUUUCAUAUUUUGUAUUUUGAGAGUUUGAGAGAAAACAUUUGUUCUUGGAGUGUUCUUGAAGUUUAUGUUAUAAAGUCUUGUUUUCCUUUAGCCAUUCUCUUCAUCUAAUUUCUGUUUCUUGUUUUCAUAUAUCAUAUCAUCUUGGUUAUGCUUCUAUCCAUCAUGGGAUUAAGUGUAAACAAGAUGAUUAGUGAGUAAUCACCCUUAGGAUCAAUGGGUUAGGUAGAUUAAUGGGUGAUUAGGGAAGAGUUAAGGUGUUCUAAUGGUUAAAUGCUUAGAUUUCUAUGCUUACUAAGUAUUCUUAAUGCUAGAUUAAUUUUGGCCAUUUUAAUCUAGAUUCUAAGUGUUUGUAGGGCAUCGAAAGUGUUUGCAUAAUGCUUGAAUGGACCUAGUAAAGCUCUAGCUUGAAUAACCAAGGAAUUGUUGUUAGGAUUGCUAGAUGGUUAGUAGACUAGAACUUAAUGUAUGUUUGAGUGAACAAAACGAACGGAAGUUGAUGUUUAGUUCAUAAUUGCAUAAGGGUUUCUACCACGGGAGUGGAUUAAUCUAAAUUGAAUGAAAUCUAGACCUAUAGAAAGUUAAGAUUAUUUGAAGUUAGACGCCUUGAUUUA